AGAAUAUCCCUGUCUCCUUUAAGACACUAAAAAUUUAUCUUUAAGUGAAGAAGCUUAAAUUUCUAUGCAGGACAAGAAGACCCUAUAGAGCUUUACCUAAAAAUUGCAAUAUUGGCAAAUAAGGGUUCGGUUGGGGCGACCAGGGGAUAUUUAUCACCCCUAAUAACUUAGACCCACCGGUCAUUAAUAGAUCCUUACUUAAGAUCAACGAAUCAAGCUACCUUAGGGAUAACAGGCUAAUCCUCUUAGAGAGCCCUUAUCGACAAGAGGGGUUGGCACCUCGAUGUUGGCUUAGGACUUCUUUACGCCGCAGCCGGCGUAACUAGAUGGUUUGUUCAACCAUUAAA
rnacentral:rRNA from 1 species